AUCAGCAGCCAUAUCACCCUGCAGCCCAAGACUGGUUGCCACACUGAAGCUAAGCAGGGUUGAGUCUGGUCAGUACCUGGAUGGGAGACCUCCUGGGAAAACUAGGUUGCUGCUGGAA
rnacentral:rRNA from 1 species